CGAAGCGUGCGAUUGGAUUGCACGUCUAAGCAGUAAGGCUGAGUAUUAGGCAAAUCCGGUACUCAUUAAGGCUGAGCUGUGAUGGGGAGAAGACAUUGUGUCUUCGAGUCGUUGAUUUCACACUGCCGAGAAAAGCCUCUAGAUAGAAAAUAGGUGCCCGUACCGCAAACCGACACAGGUAGUCAAGAUGAGAAUUCUAAGGUGAGCGAGCGAACUCUCGUUAAGGAACUCGGCAAAAUGACCCCGUAACUUCGGGAGAAGGGGUGCUCUUUAGGGUUAACGCCCAGAAGAGCCGCAGUGAAUAGGCCCAAGCGACUGUUUAUCAAAAACACAGGUCUCUGCUAAACCGUAAGGUGAUGUAUAGGGGCUGACGCCUGCCCGGUGCUGGAAGGUUAAGAGGAGUGGUUAGCUUCUGCGAAGCUACGAAUCGAAGCCCCAGUAAACGGCGGCCGUAACUAUAACGGUCCUAAGGUAGCGAAAUUCCUUGUCGGGUAAGUUCCGACCCGCACGAAAGGCGUAACGAUUUGGGCACUGUCUCAACGAGAGACUCGGUGAAAUCAUAGUACCUGUGAAGAUGCAGGUUACCCGCGACAGGACGGAAAGACCCCGUGGAGCUUUACUGUAGCCUGAUAUUGAAAUUCGGCACAGCUUGUACAGGAUAGGUAGGAGCCUUUGAAACGUGAGCGCUAGCUUACGUGGAGGCGCUGGUGGGAUACUACCCUAGCUGUGUUGGCUUUCUAACCCGCACCACUUAUCGUGGUGGGAGACAGUGUCAGGCGGGCAGUUUGACUGGGGCGGUCGCCUCCUAAAAGGUAACGGAGGCGCUCAAAGGUUCCCUCAGAAUGGUUGGAAAUCAUUCAUAGAGUGUAAAGGCAUAAGGGAGCUUGACUGCGAGACCUACAAGUCGAGCAGGGUCGAAAGACGGACUUAGUGAUCCGGUGGUUCCGCAUGGAAGGGCCAUCGCUCAACGGAUAAAAGCUACCCCGGGGAUAACAGGCUUAUCUCCCCCAAGAGUUCACAUCGACGGGGAGGUUUGGCACCUCGAUGUCGGCUCAUCGCAUCCUGGGGCUGUAGUCGGUCCCAAGGGUUGGGCUGUUCGCCCAUUAAAGCGGUACGCGAGCUGGGUUCAGAACGUCGUGAGAC
rnacentral:rRNA from 1 species